UUCUCUCCACAGUAAGUGUCAAAUAAGAAACUCAAGAGGAAAAUAUGACUGAAAGAAAUAUUCAGAGUUUUUACCUAUUGAUAUUAUAAUAAGAAUAAAGAGAAGCAACAAAUUCAUAGUUGAGACUGCUUAGAAGACUGUGACUUAUGAGGAAUCCUGAGUCUGUAAUGUGGCUGAUGAAUAAUUGAAAAUAAAACCAAGUGUUAAUUCUGUUUACAUUGACAUCAACAAACACUUAAGAAUAAAUUCGGAGGAGGACUCAAGAUGGCGCUGUGAGAACAACCCAGGAUUGGAGCUCUCCUUGAAUCCGCGGAGAGGACAUGUUUGCUUGCCCUUCACCUUCCUCCACGACUGUAAGUUUCCUGAGGCCUCCCCAGCCAUGCAGAACUGUGAGUCAAUUAAACCUCUUUUGUUUAUAAAUUACUCAGUCUUAGGUAGUAUCUUUAUAGCAGUGUGAAAAAGGACUAAUAUAUAAUUCAAACUCUGAAAGUAUAAUUUAUGAAAGGUAUAAUUAUGGUACAGAUUUUGGUAUGUUUUCAUAUAAAAAUAUACAAAUGUUAAAAUUUUGAUAUUUAUUGUGUUUUUAUCAAACUAUUGACCAGUACUGUUUGAAUUUAUGUGACCAAGACAAAAUAUGUAAGUUUUAGUAUUAUCAUAAUUGCAGGGAUAAGAAAUGGAAUCUCAGAAAUGUUAAAUAAUCAUCCAAGAACACUUAGGAAGAGCUAGGAUGCAAACUCAGCCUCAUUUCUUUAUAAUACCAUGUAGUAUCAAUUAAACGUCAAAGAUUUUUUAACUAAUAUAAAAAUUUAAUUAAAGUAGAUGUCGAAAAAUAAUUUGUUGUUGAAUUUUGAAUGCU
rnacentral:lncRNA from 13 species